UUUACAGUUGCUAUGGUAACAAAUUUGAAUUUCCUGCCAUUGUGCUAGUAAUAUUGGUUGUUUUUAUCAUUAUUGGCAGUGUAUCUUUGGUUUUUUAAUUCUGUAUGAUAUAUAGUGGGUCCUCAUUUAAUGUCAAGAUUAGGUUUUUGAAAAUUACUACCUUAGCUGAAACCAAAAAUUUUGUUGAUUUAGCAUAUGGGGCAAGGGGUAUAAAGGGUGGAUUCUUAAUUUUGGCCCCUAUAAAUGGAAAGCCAAGGCAUUUGUACCCAGUCAAUCUAACUGAAUGUCCUACAUGCUGUAAAGUUUAAUAAAUAUGUGGAGGUCGUGUAUGUC
rnacentral:lncRNA from 1 species